UUCCCUAGUGUGGCUACUGCCCUCUCUAACUAUACGGGUGUGUUGAGUGUGCAUGCUGGCAAGGUGGUGCCAGCUGCUAUCGGUGCAGCAGCUGGUGUGUUGUGUGUGUGCGCGCUUCCUCUCUGAAUCUUUAACGCUAAGAUUCUUUGAAUUUCUUAUGUAUCUUGUACACUGCAGGGUACCAAGUAGAGGCAAAACUGCAGGGUACCAAGUAGAGACAAACCGCUGCACUGUGGUCUAGGUAGCUUCGUAACAGCCAUGGCGCACAAUAUAGCUUCAGAGGGCGAUCGCGAUGGCCGUUGUUGAACUGAAUCGCGAUCAACCAAGGGUAUGAUUGGGUAGCAUGCUACUUGCUGAUGUCCAUCACAAUCCGCCAUGACAUAUAGUUGCCAUCAGGAGAGUCGACGACAAGAACACGAGUGACAACCUUAGUAGUUUAUAUGUUUUGUUGAUGUAAAUUGGAUUGAACCAGUUCCUAAUCCUUGUUGUGUGAUAUAUUGUGUCAAUAUAUGUUGUAUACUAUCAUUUCAUGGAGGAUAUGAUAAAUUGCUUCGGAAAUAUUGUACUUUGGAAAUAUUUGUGUAACGUAUGGUGCUUUGGAAAUAUUGUUUUGGUCCAAAAUUCGCAUUAUGAUUUACAGGACACAUUAUGCUGAAAGUGUAUUUGAUGAAAAUUGGUCUGAAAGAAAUGGAUGGUACCAUAUUUAAAUUGAUCCUAAAUCCAUGAAGGUUCUUGUGACAAAAAUAGUGUCCACGUAGGUGGCCAUGUCAUUCCACGUGGCAUUGGUCCAUGACGGCCUGUUCCGUCACAGCCUAGUUUGGGCUUGGGCGGGCCUGAGGUAGUUCCAUGACGGCCAAGAACCGUCAUGGAAGCUACGAUCUCAAAUUAUGACGCGAUAUACAUGACGGAU